rnacentral:rRNA from 1 species
AGAACGAACGCUGGCGGCAUGCCUAACACAUGCAAGUCGAACGAGACCUUCGGGUCUAGUGGCGCACGGGUGCGUAACGCGUGGGAAUCUGCCCUUGGGUUCGGAAUAACAGUUGGAAACGACUGCUAAUACCGGAUGAUGACGUAAGUCCAAAGAUUUAUCGCCCAGGGAUGAGCCCGCGUAGGAUUAGCUAGUUGGUGAGGUAAAGGCUCACCAAGGCGACGAUCCUUAGCUGGUCUGAGAGGAUGAUCAGCCACACUGGGACUGAGACACGGCCCAGACUCCUACGGGAGGCAGCAGUGGGGAAUAUUGGACAAUGGGCGCAAGCCUGAUCCAGCAAUGCCGCGUGAGUGAUGAAGGCCUUAGGGUUGUAAAGCUCUUUUACCCGGGAUGGAUAAUGACAGUACCGGAGAAUAAGCUCCGGCUAACUCCGCGCCAGCAGCCGCGGU